GGCCAGGUAGCUCAGUUGGUAGAGCAGCGGACUGAAAAUCCGCGUGUCGGUGGUUCAAUUCCGCCCCUGGGCACCA
rnacentral:tRNA from 1 species